GAGUGGACUCCUACGGGAGGCAGCAGUAGGGAAUAUUGCUCAAUGGGGGAAACCCUGAAGCAGCAACGCCGCGUGGAGGAUGACACUUUUCGGAGCGUAAACUCCUUUUGUUAGGGAAGAACAAUGACGGUACCUAACGAAUAAGCACCGGCUAACUCCGUGCCAGCAGCCGCGGUAAUACGGAGGGUGCAAGCGUUACUCGGAAUCACUGGGCGUAAAGGACGCGUAGGCGGAUUAUCAAGUCUCUUGUGAAAUCCUAUGGCUUAACCAUAGAACUGCUUGGGAAACUGAUAAUCUAGAGUGAGGGAGAGGCAGAUGGAAUUGGUGGUGUAGGGGUAAAAUCCGUAGAGAUCACCAGGAAUACCCAUUGCGAAGGCGAUCUGCUGGAACUCAACUGACGCUAAUGCGUGAAAGCGUGGGGAGCAAACAGGAUUAGAUACCCUUGUAGUCCU
rnacentral:rRNA from 1 species